CCAACAAAUGGGACUAAUGAAUACACACAUCCAGCUCCACCUUCAGCUGCCGGUCACUCAGCAACCGUUCAUGGCCAUCACAUGAUUGUUUUUGGAGGCAUCAGACGGCAGCUGUCACUCGGGCAGCCAUCACAGGAAAUUUUGUGCUACGAUCUAGAAAAUAACUUUUGGUUUCAACCAGAAAUCGAUGAACCAAAACCGCAAGGUCGUUAUGGACAGACUCAAAUAUCUUUAAAUGAACACAAUUUGCUAAUCAUCGGUGGCUGUGGACUGUGGAGGUCCCAACAGCGUCUUCAAUGACGUUUGGUUACUCAACAUGGAAGGAUUACGAUGGCGAUGGAAGGAGCUAUCUGUGGAAAAUCAAGAACAUGGCGCGUGCCACAUGUGGUGUUCACCCGGUUGUAAAGUGGAAGAAAAAGUGGUAUUUUUGUGCCGAAGGCCAAACGCCCAGCAAGCGUCCAGUCCGCAUCCGGCUUACGCAUCACAUUACAACAUGUCUGCCCAGAUUCGUGGUCGAUCUGUUUGGGUUCCACCGGUCGAAAACCCACCAGCCCGCCCAAACAAUAACAUACGAGUCCAAGACGAAAGAAACGUAAAUGGAAAUAGCAAAGGCGAUUUGAAUGCAAGGCGUUAAGAGGAGGAACCCAAGGAACCUGUGCGUGUUCACCCACGGCCAGGAUCGAAACCGUCAAUUCGACCGAACGCAAUGAAAAAUCGAGGGAAACAACUGGAAGCGUUAAAGCAAAUGGAAGAACGUAUCCAGCGGUUGCAGGGAAAGGUACAUGAAAUUCAGCAAGACAAAGUGAACUCCUCCAACCAAUCGUCGAUGAGUCUGUGCCUGCUUGAUAUCAGUGAAGCUCUUACGAAGAAUAAAGUUCGAUGGUUACCACCGAAUGAUGCAGUCACAAGCGGACGCGGUUCACCUGAAGAAGCAGUGCUCUACUCCAUUGUACACGGGCGAGGAGAGUUGAUUGUGUUUGGAGGCGUACAAAAGUUCAUCGCUACACAGUCAACUACCAAUUCGCCAGGCGGGCCUAACAUUGUCUCAAGUGCAGUUUACUUUAUUCAAGCUCAUACGUGCAUCAUCAUCUGAUGAUGAGCAGUUUACUUGUUCUCUAAUGACCAUAGAUGUUUGUUUGCAGAUUUGUACAAUACCAUAACGUUUGUUUGCCAA